GAUGAACGCUGGCGGCGUGCCUAAUACAUGCAAGUAGAACGCUGAAGCUUGGUGCUUGCACCGAGCGGAUGAGUUGCGAACGGGUGAGUAACGCGUAGGUAACCUGCCUCUUAGCGGGGGAUAACUAUUGGAAACGAUAGCUAAUACCGCAUAAAAGUCGAUAUCGCAUGAUAUUGAUUUGAAAGGUGCAAUUGCAUCACUAAGAGAUGGACCUGCGUUGUAUUAGCUAGUUGGUGAGGUAACGGCUCACCAAGGCGACGAUACAUAGCCGACCUGAGAGGGUGAUCGGCCACACUGGGACUGAGACACGGCCCAGACUCCUACGGGAGGCAGCAGUAGGGAAUCUUCGGCAAUGGGGGCAACCCUGACCGAGCAACGCCGCGUGAGUGAAGAAGGUUUUCGGAUCGUAAAGCUCUGUUGUAAGAGAAGAACGAGUGUGAGAGUGGAAAGUUCACACUGUGACGGUAACUUACCAGAAAGGGACGGCUAACUACGUGCCAGCAGCCGCGGUAAUACGUAGGUCCCGAGCGUUAUCCGGAUUUAUUGGGCGUAAAGCGAGCGCAGCGGUUAGAUAAGUCUGAAGUUAAAGGCUGUGGCUUAACCAUAGUACGCUUUGGAAACUGUUUAACUUGAGUGCAGAAGGGGAGAGUGGAAUUCCAUGUGUAGCGGUGAAAUGCGUAGAUAUAUGGAGGAACACCGGUGGCGAAAGCGGUCUCUGGUCUGUAACUGACGCUGAGGCUCGAAAGCGUGGGAGCAAACAGG
rnacentral:rRNA from 1 species